CUCUAACUCUCUCGGCUCUCCCUUUCUCCCGUGAAACAAACCACCAUCAUCACCAAAAAUUUCAGCUUGUUGAGCAUCAAAACUGCCAUUAUCUGCAUGGCUUCACCACCAUAAACCCAGUUUUGAGUUUUGUUUCAUUGAAAACGAAUCCUAACCUCGAGUUCGAAGAACAAGGUUUUGGGCUGGGACUUCUAGGCGUGAUUCAGACAAUUCUUAGCCAUCUUUUGAACUCAAAAUAGGGAUAGAUCGAUUCCUCAUGUUGUGUAGAUGAAUUUUCAUGUUUGGAUCGUGUGAUUUGGUGGAGAAAUGAGAAAGUUAUAAUGAUUUAAAGUUUGCCCAGUUUCCGGCGACCUCAGCCACUUUCGAGGUGUUUUCCGACCAAAUCACGGUGAGAUAGCCAUCUUUCAAGGGACCAAUCUCUUCCUCUCAUCAAGAACUAUGAUUUCCGUUUUUGAAUCACUUGAUUUCGUUGAGUGUUGACAAAGUUAUGGACGUUGAAAGAUUGCCCAGAAAUUCUGGCAAAUUUCCCUGUUUUCCCGCGGACAGCCGUCUUUCAGCCCAUUUUCUGGCCAUCUCCAGCGACCAUUUGGACUCCAAGGCAGGCAACGAUCGUUCGAGACAUCUUGAUAUUCGUGCCAGGGAGUUGUAGCGCGAACUGCAUGUUUUAGCUGCUAAAAGUUCGUAUCGACGAGGAUUCUUGACGAAUCUCAGUAUAAGUGGCUACCUCUAAGGGUGUCGGCCAGCACAGCUCGAUUAGGAAUCCUAGUGGACGUUCGGGGUUGGGGUGUGUUAGCUCUAUCAUGAGCACUCAACUUGUGUCCAAAAGGUACUGGAGUUGAAAUAAGCUUCACAUCAGUAAACUUGGUUUUCUUCAGCAAAUCAAGAGCAUAUUUUGAUUGAUUUAGAUGCAUAUGAUUCUUAACAUAAGUAACUUAAAAUCCCCAAAAAUAAUGUAGGGGCCCCAAAUUCUUCAUAGAAAACAAGGUGCCAAGCUUCGUUAUUAAAUUCUUCAUUUGAACUGGACUGUUUCCCGUUAUCAAUAUAUCGUCCACAUAGAUUAAUAAAAUCAAGUAAACUCCACGAUGAUUAAACACAAAUAAAGAAUAAUCACAUCUUGACUCUUGGAACCCUAAUUGCAGCAAAAAAUCUGAAAACUGUUGAAACCAAGCACGAGGUGCUUGUUUCAAACCAUAUAAACUCCUCUGCAACGUCCAUAAAUGAUUGGGAAAUUGUUUAUCAAUAAAACCCGCUGGCUGCCUCAUGUAAACAUCCUCUGCAAGAUAACCAUGCAAAAAUGCAUUCUGAACAUCCAGUUGACGGACGAACCACUUAUUCGAAAUUGCAAGACUGAGAACCAACCGAAUGGUACUAUGUUUGACAACUGGACUGAACGUUUCAUUGUAGUCAAUCCCUUGUUAUUGGUGAAAACCAUUAGCUACUAACCUUGCCUUAUGAUGUUCAAUUGAGCCAUCAACACGUUAUUUGAUCUUAUAAACCCAUUUAUUAGUAAGCAAGUUCAUGGAAGAAUGAUAAGGUACCAACCUCCAGGUUCCACAUCUCCAUAAGGCAUUGAACUCUCUCACCACUGCAUCCCUCCAUUUCUGAUGUUUCACUGCUUGACUAAAACAAGUAGGUUCAAGCAUUUUUUUAUUAGUAGUCACAUGCAAUGCAUACUUAAAUUUGGGUUCUUGGACACCGGCUUUGCUACGAGUUGUCAUGGGAUGCAUUGGAGUUUGUGCAACAAUGGAAUUGGUUGAUGCACUCACUGGUUCAUUUUGUUGGAUGGACGACACUACUUUUUGCUCAUUCAGGGAUUCUAGAGGUGGUCUAUUGUUCGUAGGAUUGGAAGGCACUACUGCAGGUUGUCCUAGGAUUUCAUAUACAAUAGGUUUUGGUUGUGGAACUAUGGGAUUUGGCAUGGGCUCAAUGGGGUUAAUGAUCUUAGUGGAAGCAGGUUGAGAAGAUAGGAAACUAAAAAACAAAUCAUGUGAAGAAUUCAUACUUGUUUUAUUGACGCAACCCUCGAUAGGUGUGAGUUCCUGGAAAGGAAAAGAGUCCUCAUCGAAUAGGACAUGGCGAAACAAAUAAACUUGUCUCUUCAAUAAAUCCAAGCAUUUAUGUCCUUGAUGGUUAAGUGAAUAUCCUAAAAACACAAAAGACUUUGAUUUGGACUCAAGUUUAUUAUUAGUAUACGGUCUCAACCAUGGAAAACAACGACUG